rnacentral:tRNA from 1 species
GCCGGCGUAGCUCAGUGGUAGAGCAGCGCACUCGUAAUGCGCAGGUCAGGAGUUCGAAUCUCCUCGCCGGCU